rnacentral:lncRNA from 1 species
ACUCUGCAAUCGCGCGUGGUAGAAAUUUAUUUGUUGCUUCUGUUUCGUAAUAUGAACUGUUUACACAAGAAUAAUUGCAAUAAGCAAUUUUUUUCUUAUUUUUAUUUAAAAUCAAGCCUUAGUAACUAUCAAGGUUACCAAGAAAGUCAACAUAUGUGGAACGAGCGUUUCUUCCCUUGAAAAAAACGAGGUCGCUAGUGCAAAAUUGCGUCACAAAGGACGCACGACGGCUUAGAGUGGCAUCAGGCAAGCAGACAUACGUUUUCGGCCGAAAAACGGGGGUAUAAAAAGGAUGCGAUGCGUACGUACUCACUGAUGACCCGUGACCUCGGGUGCUUGUGAACUUCAACAACGUGCAUCUUGUUUAAACGGAGUAACACACGAGCCUGAAGCCCCGUCUAGAUUCAAGCCACGUUCAAAGUUAUAUCAAGUUACAUGGGUUUAUGGAGCAACUGUCACUCGGAACCAAUUUCUAGAGGCCCGUUUCAAGGGCCAGGAGAAGCUCUGUAAGAGCUCACCAAAUUAUACGUGAUGCGACUCGAGUAACUUUGCCUUUACCCUUCCUUGUACAUAUGCACAAGGUAUAACAUUGGAAAGCUCCGGGCUUUUGAGUUGUAUAUACAACUGUGAGAAAUGUGCGUCCGAAUGUGUCGUCAAUAGGAAAAUAAACUCAUGGACAACGCGAAGUAUCCUACUCGAGAACAACUGGUACGUUCGUGCCGCGGGCUAUGUAGAUGUAACCGAAAGUACUAACAGAGCAGCAGGGAGUUUUGGCAAUAGGUUGUCCAACCCGCGAAAUGAACCCUAGCAGUUCUUCAAUGAAGAUGGUGGACAUCCAUAAUAGCUGAACGGCAAUAAGAAUCUGCACACCGCCGUUAAUGUGGCCACCACUAUCAGCCGCCUGCGUCGAGGAGCCAACUAGAGCGCACAAGCGAUAGAGGUCGCAGUCGCCCCACAACGGUACCCCAUAACGGUGAACGACGACAGGACAGUAUUAAUAGUAAAAACGACGAGGAUACAAUAACAAUUACAGGCAUAAGCAAGCUGUGUGUAUCUAAUGGUAUUGAUUGUGACUAUACGUCGUCAUGUAUUUGUUACAAUUUGUCGCUCAUGAAACUCUUCAGAGAAUUAGACGUUCGAACGCUUUUCUAGAAUAAGCAAAUCGCGACUGAUCAGCGGCGAUCCAACUUCAAAAAAAUCAGCAAAGAAUCAUCAGUGCAGAAACAGAGCCAAAAGAAUAUUUAUUGUAAAUUUUCUCGUACUGAUUUGCAUUUGGCGGGGUUUUAUGGAAGAAGUCGUAUCCAAAAUACGGCUGACGGAAAAGCAAAGUGUUACUUACAUCCCGUAUGAGUUGCUAGCAUAUUCGUGAGUGUGAUAAAACAAAACAGCCUCCAUUAACUACAACCCGCGUAUCCGUCCCUAGGUUGCCCCUCGAAGAAAGCCCAAAACAGUAUGGCAGAUCUCAAUUUGUGUUUAUCUUAUUGAAUCCACAAAUCGAGAUGUGAGCCGAAGAAGCGUAUGCUACUUCUUCUGGCUUGUGUAUCUCAAGACAGAUCGCAAAUGAAACGUACAUUUUGAUUCCAAGACGACAAAAGCAUGCAUGCAGUACUUAGGCGACAAAUAAGUACAGGGCUUAAUUAUUCAUACAGCUUGUGCAGUAUACGUGCUAAAGAUAUUCCAUUUGAUUGCAUGUGUUUACUUUUUUUUAUGUAGAUUUUUCAAUAUCCUGUCAGAAACAUGAACAAGCAAACUUAAUAGAGGCGCUAUAAACCCCAGAUCUUUGAUAAGGUUCAGUUCGAGUUCUCAACUGACACCAACAUUACUUAUUGCCAUAAUGAUCAUUGACAUAGGGUUUAAUUCGUUUUUAGACUUGGGUAAAAAUGUUA